UUUUGGAGUAGGAGGAAGAAAAAAAAUACAAGCAACUGAAAAUGGGAGUAGAAAGUAAAUGUCAAAGGAAAUCUUCAGCCAUAACUACACUAUUUUUAGGCAUAACUAGUUGGGGGGAAUUAAAGAGUUGUCAAUAGAUUUAAAUAAGAAGUUUGCAAAUCUUUUCAGAUCCCGUAAUUAGUCUUUAAUACCUUUAAGUUUUAUCUUCUCCCAUUUAUCUCUUCUGCUCCACAGCUGAAAAAAGGGAUCUGAGAUCCUCUGCCCAUCAAUUUAUUUCUAGACAAGAGACUAGUCCAGGAAACAAACAGCAGGCAAAGACUUUAUUAAACAUAAGCAGACAUUACAGUUUCGCUUCUGAUGGCCUUGGCUGAAGUCUCAGCAUUGAGAUAAUUGAAAUGCAAGAUUACACUUAAUCUUUGACAGGCUAGCCUAAUUAAUUGUGAUUCUUAUCACCUAAAUUGGAGUCUGAUUUAAAGAUUACCAUUUAUAGCAUAUAGCAAAUUAAGAUGCUGGGCAAGAGAUAAAUGGGGAAGAGAAAAAGACUUCUCCCUCUCCCCACACGGAAAAUAAUUUGUAGUUGAGUCCCUAGGAUCUGGGAGCCUAAUGGUUUAUAAGAAAAGUUGGGAUCCUUUGGUUGGUUGGCUUAGAAAGAUUUCAUACAAAGUGUGCUGAGAGGCCCCAAAAGGGAAGGAAAGAGAAGAACCGUGUGACUCAAACCCAACGGAC
rnacentral:lncRNA from 1 species